rnacentral:misc_RNA from 1 species
UACAGAGGUGGCAAGCGUUGUUCGGAUUUACUGGGCGUAAAGGGUGCGUAGGCGGUUUUGUGUGUCAGAUGUGAAAGCCCAUGGCUCAACCAUGGAAUUGCAUUUGAAACUGCAGAACUAGAGUAUCGGAGAGGUAGAUGGAAUUCUUGGUGUAGCGGUGAAAUGCGUAGAUAUCAAGAAGAACACCAGCGGCGAAAGCGAUCUACUGGACGAAUACUGACGCUGAGGCACGAAAGCCAGGGGAGCGAAGAGG